CAAGAGUUCGUUAUAGUUAUGUGACCUCCCUGCAAGACGGAGGUAACAGAUUGCACAAACACAUUGAAACAUUUUCAGCUGUUCACUAACACUGUUACAUUUUCUGGAAUUUUCAAUGGAAUGGGAGAAUACGAGAGGCGAAUACCCAAUAUUUCAAGAAGAAUAAACGAAAAGCGCAGUUUAUUUUGGAUUUUAAAGAGAGAAAACGAAAGAGGUUAACAAGGAGAAAAAGAAAUCAUUUGGACCAUUGGUAAAAUUCAAAUCUAUUGCGUGCAGCAACCAAAUAAUGGAGUAUGUUUUAAAUUAUUAAAGUUAAAUAGUGUAUAUUUAAUUCAAAUAUUUGUUAUAGAUUGUGCAUUUUA